rnacentral:rRNA from 1 species
AGUGAACGCUGGCGGUAGGCCUAACACAUGCAAGUCGAACGGCAGCACAGAGGAGCUUGCUCCUUGGGUGGCGAGUGGCGGACGGGUGAGGAAUACAUCGGAAUCUACUUUUUCGUGGGGGAUAACGUAGGGAAACUUACGCUAAUACCGCAUACGACCUACGGGUGAAAGCAGGGGAUCUUCGGACUUUGCGCGAUUGAAUGAGCCGAUGUCGGAUUAGCUAGUUGGCGGGGUAAAGGCCCACCAAGGCGACGAUCCGUAGCUGGUCUGAGAGGAUGAUCAGCCACACUGGAACUGAGACACGGUCCAGACUCCUACGGGAGGCAGCAGUGGGAAUAUUGGACAAUGGGCGCAAGCCUGAUCCAGCCAUACCGCGUGGGUGAAGAAGGCCUUCGGGUUGUAAAGCCCUUUUGUUGGGAAAGAAAUCCAGCCGGCUAAUACCUGGUUGGGAUGACGGUACCCAAAGAAUAAGCACCGGCUAACUUCGUGCCAGCCGCCGCAGUAA